AUGGCCCUCCCGACACCUUCGGACGGCACACUCCCCGCGGAAGCCCGGGGACUGGGACGGUCUAGGAGACUCGUUUGGACCCCGAGCCAAAGUGAGGCCCUGCAAGCCUGCUUUGAGCGGAACCCAUACCCGGACAUCGCCACCAGAGUACCGCUGGCCCAGGCCAUCGGCAUUCUGGAGCCUAGGGUCCAGAUUUGGUUUCAGAAUGGGAGGUCACGCCAGCUGAGGCAGCACCGGUGGGAAUCUCGGCCCUGGCCUUGGAGACGUGGCCCGCAAGAAGGCAGGCGAAAGCGGACCGCCGUCACCGGAUCCCAGACCACCGUGCUCCUCUGAGCCUUUGAGAAGUAUCGCUUUCCAGGCAUCGCCGCUAGGGAAGAGCUGGCCAGAGAGACGGGCCUCCCGGAGUCCAAGAUUCAGAUCUAGUUUCAGAAUCAAAGGGCCAGGCACCCGGGACAGGGUGGCAGAUGGAACACGCAGGCAGGCGGCCUGUACAACGCGGCCCCCAGGGGGUGUCACCCUGCUCCCUCGUGGGUCGCCUUCGCCCACACUAGCACGUGGGGAAUAGGGCUUCCAGAACCCCACGUGCCCUGCGCACCUGGUGCUCUCCCACAGGGGGCUUUCAUGAGCCAGGGAGCGAGGGCCGCCCCUGUACUGCAGCCCAGCCGGGACACGCCAGCAGAGGGGAUCUCCCAACCCGCCCCAGCACGCGGGGAUAUUGCUUACGCCACCCGGGCUCAAUCGGAAGGGGUGCUCUCCCACCCUCAGUCUCCUCGGUGGCCUCCACAACCAGGCAUAAGCCAGGAGGACAGGGACCCGCAGCGCGACGGCCUGAUGGGCCCUUUCGCGGUGGGACAGCCUGGGCCUGCUCAUGCGGGGCCACAGGGCCAAGUUGUGCUUUCCCCACCCACAUCCCAGGGGAGUCCGUGGUGGGGCUGGAGCCGGGGUCCCCACGUCGCCGGGUCAGCUUGGGAACUCCAAGUUGGGGCAGUUCCACCUCACCAGCCCACGUCCCCGGAGGCCUCCGCGCGGAAGGGGCAAAUGCAGGGCAUCCCGGCGCCCUUCCAGGUGCUCCAGGAGCCGGGGCGCUCAUCUGCACUCCCCUCCGGCCUGAUACUGGAUGAGCUCCGGGCGAGCGCGGAGUUUCUGCAGCAGGCGCAACCUUUCCUAGAAAUGGAGGCCCCGGGGGAGCUGGAGGCCUUGGAAGAGGCCACCUUGCUGGAAGCACCCCUCAGCAAGGAAGAAUACUGGGCUCUGAUGGAGGAAUUUA
rnacentral:lncRNA from 1 species